GGAACGGAGCGUCAUAGAGGGUGAGAAUCCCGUCUUUGACACGGACCCUCGGUGCUCUGUGAUAUGCUCUCGAAGAGUCGAGUUGUUUGGGAAUGCAGCUCAAAAUGGGUGGUGAACUCCAUCUAAAGCUAAAUAUUGGCGAGAGACCGAUAGCGAACAAGUACCGUGAGGGAAAGAUGAAAAGCACUUUGGAAAGAGAGUGAAACAGUACGUGAAAUUGCUGAAAGGGAAACGCUUGAAGUCAGUCGCGUCCGGUGGAAUUCAGCCUUAUGGUGUACUUUCCGUCGGAUGGGCCAGCAUCACUUUUGGUCGCCGGAAAAGGGCGGAGGGAAUGUGGCACCUUCGGGUGUGUUAUAGCCUUCUGUCGUAUACGGUGGCCGGGAGUGAGGACCGCCUUUUGUAGGAUGCUGGCGUAAUGGCUUUAAACGACCCGUCUUGAAACACGGACCAAGGAGUCUAACAUGCCCGCGAGUGUUCGGGUGGAAAACCCGUGCGCGUAAUGAAAGUGAAAGUUGGGAAGGCUGUCGCGGCCUGCACCGACGCCCGGACUUGAGAUUUAUCGACGGUUCUGCGGUAGAGCGUGUAUGUUGGGACCCGAAAGAUGGUGAACUAUGCCUGAAUAGGGUGAAGCCAGAGGA
rnacentral:rRNA from 1 species